AAUGAACGCUGGCGGCAUGCCUAACACAUGCAAGUCGAACGAGACCUUCGGGUCUAGUGGCGCACGGGUGCGUAACGCGUGGGAAUCUGCCCUUGGGUUCGGAAUAACAGUUAGAAAUGACUGCUAAUACCGAAUGAUGUCGUAAGACCAAAGAUUUAUCGCCCAGGGAUGAGCCCGCGUAGGAUUAGCUAGUUGGUGUGGUAAAAGCGCACCAAGGCGACGAUCCUUAGCGGUCUGAGAGGAUGAUCAGCCACACUGGGACUGAGACACGGCCCAGACUCCUACGGGAGGCAGCAGUGGGGAAUAUUGGACAAUGGGCGAAAGCCUGAUCCAGCAAUGCCGCGUGAGUGAUGAA
rnacentral:rRNA from 1 species